GACGAACGCUGGCGGCGUGCUUAACACAUGCAAGUCGAACGAGGCCCCUCCUUCGGGAGGGUGUCCUAGUGGCGAACGGGUGAGUAACACGUGGGCAACCUGCCCUCAGCUCUGGGAUAACCCCAAGAAAUUGGGGCUAAUACCGGAUACGACCGCUGACCGCAUGGUCGGUGGUGGAAAGGUUUUUCCGGCUGAGGAUGGGCCCGCGGCCUGUCAGCUUGUUGGUGGGGUAGUGGCCUACCAAGGCGACGACGGGUAGCCGGCCUGAGAGGGUGACCGGCCACACUGGGACUGAGACAUGGCCCAGACUCCUGCGGGAGGCAGCAGUGGGGAAUAUUGCGCAAUGGGCGAAAGCCUGACGCAGCAACGCCGCGUGCGGGAUGAAGGCCUUCGGGUUGUAAACCGCUUUCAGCAGGGAUGAAACUGACAGUACCUGCAGAAGAAGCCCCGGCUAACUACGUGCCAGCCGCCGCAGUAAAAC
rnacentral:rRNA from 1 species